rnacentral:rRNA from 1 species
AUGAGCCAAGGUUCUCCCGCCGCGACGGGGUCCGGUUCAGGGACAGCAGAGCCGGCCCAUGGGCAGCACGGGGACUCCGCCGCCGCCGCCGCCUCCCCGAGCGCCGUGGCGGCCGAUGCCUCAUCCUCCUCCUCGCCGCCACCUCUCCCCCCUGCAGCGCCCCUCGAGCGGCCCCAGGAAGAGCGGGACCGCGAGCAGGCCGGAGGCUCCGCUGCGGCGGCGGCGGUCGACCGGGAGGGCGAGGGGCUCGACCCCGCAGCUCCUUCUUCCCCGAGCUCCACGGGGAGCAUCUCCGAGAACGGCGACGCCGCGGCCUCCGAAGCCGGGCCGUUCGACUGCAGGCUGGCGUUCCAGCAGAUGCUACAGAAGCAGACGGCCAUCAAGGAGGCGGGCGGGCCGUUGGCCGAGGGGGCGGGCAAGAAGAAGAGGCCGGAGGACGCGCAGUUUUUUCAUGGAGAAUCACCAGGUUAUGUGCACUAUUCACAACAUGUGAAUCACCAGACACAUCCCAUCACUGAAGUCACAAAGUAUUAUUUGGUUUCUGAUUUGGCUACGGGACAAGGAGUGGACCAUCUUGAUGCCUAUUCAGAAUUUAGACCGGUGACUGGAGAUGGGGAGUGUUUCUACAGGAGCUUCAUAUUUUCCUACCUGGAGCAAGUUCUUGAUAGGCAGGACACAAAUGAGAACACCGUCUCCUUGAUGCUGUUAAAAGAGUGUCUGUGCAACAUGCAGAUCUUAGAUGGACCUCUGAAUUUCCCAGGAGCUACAGAGGGAUGCACAAUUUCUUACAGUAGUGGCAUGCCAUCGCAGUUUUACACUGCAUUUAAGAAGCUGAUUAAGAAAGUAAAGAGAUGGAAGAGGCAUGGCAAGUGGAAGUGGAACAGCAUAGCAUCAACUAGCAGAUUAGUAGUAGCUAUCUGGAUAUGCUCGCACGCGAAGCAGUAUGAGCCGCGUAUACCAGGGCUCGAUGGACGUUACAGUCUGAAAGAUUGGUGCUUUCAGCACGUCACUCCAUCUCGUCAGUACGCGGACCAUGUUAUGAUGACGGCCUUGGCCGAAGCGCUUGAGGUACCCCUUAGAGUGGAGCAACUCAAUGGAGGACCUGCUCAGGACAUCUACACUGUUCCUGGACCUGGAGUCCCCCUUGUGAGUGUGACCCUUCUGUACACGGGCAAUCACUACGACGUCCUCUACCCACGCGCUCCUCCUACCGAGAGUUCAAGUCAGCAGACUUCCUGA